AAAGGGUAGGUAGGUGGUGACAUUUGUCUGGGGUGAAAUCCCUGAGCUUAACUCAGGAAGUGCCUUGGAAACGGUGUCACUAGAGUGCUGGAGAGGUUCGCAGAAUUCUUGGUGUAGCGGUGAAAUGCGUAGAGAUCAAGAGGAAUACCAGAGGCGAAGGCGGCGAACUGGACAGUAACUGACACUAAACUACGAAAGCGUGGGGAGCAAACAGGAUUAGAUACCCCAGU
rnacentral:rRNA from 1 species